rnacentral:rRNA from 1 species
UACGGAGGGGGCUAGCGUUGUUCGGAAUCACUGGGCGUAAAGGGCGCGUAGGCGGCUUAACAAGUUGGAAGUGAAAUCCUAUGGCUUAACCAUAGAACUGCUUUCAAAACUGUUAAGCUAGAGUAUGGUAGAGGAUGGUGGAAUUCCUAGUGUAGAGGUGAAAUUCGUAGAUAUUAGGAGGAACACCGGUGGCGAAAGCGACCAUCUGGGCCAUAACUGACGCUGAGGCGCGAAAGCGUGGGGAGCAAACAGG